CGGAAGUUGAGUAACUGAGUGCGAAAGUACCGGGACGAGGACGACGGGAGACGUAGGCGAUGGCAGAAUUCUUCUUCGGCGAUCGGGGACCGACUCUCUCUGUCUCUUCCCUUCUGCAACCACCAACUAUCAACUACCAACCGCUGAUGCGGGCGGCUGAUCUCCUUUUUAAAUUCCGCCGAGCCCGGGACCGAAAAUGUGACAUUUCAUCCAAAUUCUCGGACCACUAUGCUUUUGGGCUAUUGUUUAUUAUUUUCUAUUGCAGGUGGGUUCCACUGCGUUAGUCCCUGGACACCUGCACCAGCACGAUCUUUCAUCCGCAAUACGUAAUCUCUUUUUGUUUCAAGAUUUACAAUCCUAGGGAUGAAGCUUCACACAUAAUAGCACGGAUAGGU
rnacentral:lncRNA from 1 species